UUUCUUACCUGACAGUUGGAAUACCAUGAUCAAGAAGGUGGUUUCCCCAGGAUGAGGUGCUUCCACUGCAGUUUUCAGUCGGGUAGACCCCUGUUAUUUCCCAAAAUGUGGGAAUCUCAACUGAAUAAUUUAUGGAAGUGUGGAACUGCAUACAUGCAGUUCUUUU